rnacentral:lncRNA from 9 species
CUUUUAAGGAUGAGAUUUUUUUCCUACACAAUCUUAAUUGUCUUCUGCUAUUGUAGGCUCUUUGUUUGCAAUUGCAUGAAACGUGUUGGCAGAAGAGCCAUCAUUUCUCUUUUUAAAAAACUGUGGCUCACAUGAAUUCUGAUCUGUUGCCCAAAUUCUGAGCAUCCGUUGUGCAGUGCGUGUACCAGCACCAGCUUCACUGCUAGAAAAGCCGACCGGGAGGAGUGACUUAUAUGUGCAGCAGUAAUAAACGUCUCGACUCCACAUCCUAUAACUAGACCCCACGCUCCGUCAGCAACAGCACUAACCAGCCAGGGCCUCCCGAGUGGAUGGCCACCCCUGUGCACCCAGGCUGUCGAGAAGACAAGGGCGUGUGUUUUCCUGGCCGGUCUUGCUCUCGGGAGGAAGGAGAGUGGAAAGCGCCAAGCCUCUGAGGUUCAGUUUCUCCUUCCAGCCCCAUCAGACUGACAUGCAGCGUUGCCUCCCUGGAGAAGGGAGAGGAGAGAGAGACCCGGGACAUUCCAUCAGUGGAUGUGCCACCACCGGGAAGAGGAGGUCGCCCGUGAAGACCGGGACUCCCCUCAGCGCCAACCCGGGGCCGGUGCACAGCGGCCUCGAACAUACAUCAUCUUGCCACGUCAAGCUUAAAAUCCCCCCGAGGUGAACAGAUGAGACUGAAUCUGCUGCGGAGGCCGCGGGCGACAGGCAGAGAGCAGCAGCAGGCCACGGGGCCACUGAAGGCAACGCGUGUAUCUGGGAAGCCAGGAGCCGUUUCUCUCAGACCUAGACUCGUAUCUGCCUCUAAGAACUACAGGCUCCCCCUUGCAGAGGUGGGUCCUGAGCUGCUAAAGCUUGCAGCCUGCAGUCAGGCGGGAGAUGCAAGAGAGGAACCAGAGAUGCUGAGCUGAAUGGACUCCAUUACUUCUCCCAACUUUGUUGAUUAGAUCCGUCAGUCUUCCACGAUAGGAGUGAGCCUGAGUACCUCUUCCACGGUUUGCCCCCUGGGGAAGAGAUUGAAAAUUCCCCCUUCUAGUUGGAACCAAGAGAAGUCGUAGCAGGUAUUUUCCAUUCGUCAUUAUUACCCGUUGCUCACUGAACUAACUCUACCGCAGCAGGAGCUCAGGCCACGCCAAUAGGGACUGUCACCAUCUACUGGACUCUAAGAGAGAGAAGAAAGGCCCUGCCCUUUCAUACUUCUUCUGCCACCCCUAAACCCACCCCACCUUUACUUUUUAAAAAUCUAGCCAAGAGUUUGGCCCUCCUGCUUAAAAACAAAACAAGUCAUUUCUUGAACAUGUAAUAGUCUAUCUUUCACUUGACGAAGUUGGGUUUGUUAGUUGCUAAGACUUUAUGUUGCAAAUAUUUAGCGAUUCAGUGGUAUAGCAUUU